rnacentral:rRNA from 1 species
GACGAACGCUGGCGGCGUGCUUAACACAUGCAAGUCGAACGGAAAGGCCUGCUUUCCCUUGUGGAUUGCGGGUACUCGCGUGGCGAACGGGUGAGUAACACGUGAGUGAUCUGCCCCCAACUUGGGUAUAAGCCUGGGAAACUGGGUCUAAUUCCCGAUAGGACUGCAGGGUGGUGCCUGUGGUGGAAAACGAUUUUCUAGUGGUUGGGGAUGAGCUCGCGGCCUAUCAGCUUGUUGGUGGGGUAAUGGCCUACCAAGGCGGCGACGGGUAGCCGGCCUGAGAGGGUGGGCGGCCACAUUGGGACUGAGAUACGGCCCAGACUCCUACGGGAGGCAGCAGUGGGGAAUAUUGCACAAUGGGCGGAAGCCUGAUGCAGCGACGCCGCGUGGGGGAUGACGGCCUUCGGGUUGUAAACUCCUUUCGACCGCGAGGAAGCCACCUGGUUGGAAGGGUGGUGACGGUAGUGGUAGAAGAAGCACCGGCUAACUACGUG